rnacentral:rRNA from 1 species
CCUACGGGAGGCAGCAGUGAGGAAUAUUGGUCAAUGGGCGCAAGCCUGAACCAGCCAAGUCGCGUGAGGGAAGACGGCCCUAUGGGUUGUAAACCUCUUUUGCCGGGGAGCAACUGGCGUCACGUGUAGCGCCAUCGAGAGUACCUGAAGAAACAGCAUCGGCUAACUCCGUGCCAGCAGCCGCGGUAAUACGGAGGAUGCGAGCGUUAUCCGGAUUUACUGGGUGUAAAGGGAGCGUAGGCGGAGUGGCAAGUCUGUGGUGAAAGCCCGGGGCUCAACCUCGGACCCGCAUUGGAAACUGUGAGUCUGGAGUGCUGGAGAGGUAAGCGGAAUGCCUGGUGUAGCGGUGAAAUGCGUAGAUAUCAGGAGGAACACCAGUGGCGAAGGCGGCUUGCUGGAUAGCGACUGACGCUGAGGCUCGAAAGCGUGGGGAGCGAACAGGAUUAGAUACCCUAGUAGUC